rnacentral:rRNA from 1 species
AACGAACGCUGGCGGCAGGCUUAACACAUGCAAGUCGAGCGCCCCGCAAGGGGAGCGGCAGACGGGUGAGUAACGCGUGGGAAUCUACCCAUCUCUACGGAAUAACGCAUGGAAACGUGUGCUAAUACCGUAUAAGUCCUUCGGGAGAAAGAUUUAUCGGAGAUGGAUGAGCCCGCGUUGGAUUAGCUAGUUGGUGGGGUAAAGGCCUACCAAGGCGACGAUCCAUAGCUGGUCUGAGAGGAUGAUCAGCCACACUGGGACUAAGACACGGCCCAGACUCCUACGGGAGGCAGCAGUGUGGAAUAUUGGACAAUGUGCGCAAGACUGAUCCAGCCAGGCCGCGUGAGUGAUGAAGGCCCUAGGGUUGUAAAGCUCUUUCACCGGUGAAGAUAAUGACGGUAACCGGAGAAGAAGCCCCGGCUAACUUCGUGCCAGCAGCCGCCGCAGUAA